rnacentral:tRNA from 1 species
GGCGCCGCUAGCUCAGUUGGUUAGAGCAGCUGACUCUUAAUCAGCGGGUCCGGGGUUCGAGUCCCUGG